ensembl:lncRNA
AAAAGCAAAAAACCUGUUGCCCUCCCCUCAGAAAGAUGGCAAUAAAGGAGAGAAGGGUUAGAAAUACGAGGCAGACAGACAGCUAACUGGUCUACCUUGAGCCUGACUGACCAAUGUAUCCACUCAGAUAUUUACUGAACACCCACAAGCUAUUUGACAUAUAUAUAGAGAGAAAACAGCAGAAAUCAGGCACAUAUCUUUACUCGUAAGCAAGUUACAUACUAGCUGAAACAUGGAAUACAUACAAUUUUCUUAAAUCCAUAGAAGUCACAACAUUUUUAUAGUGUGAAUACUCACAAAUUAAAUAUGUGUAGCACUCCACUGCUUGUAAAAAUCUCCACAGAAAACACCUUAUUUAACUAGAAAAUAUGUGAAUCCAGUGAGGUUAAAGAUGUACGUCAAGGAUAAGCUAUCAUCAAAGCUCAUCCUGAGAAAAACAAUGUCAAGCCAGGAAGCACUCGCUGACUUCGAUGUCACGACAUUUUAAAUCAACAUUAAAUGAGCGUGGGUUUGGCACAGGUUACACAAACCGGACAGACAUGGACCCAGUGCUUCCAGGGGAUCCUGCGAUGUGGCUGGGCAGCCACACCGUGGAGGAAAGAAGUUCAACAAGUUGGGCUGAGAAAAUGGUGAUAUUCUUUACAAAGACAGGAAACAAGAUUAGUUCCCUAUACAAAGGCUAUAAAAAGAAUUCAUGUCCAGUAGUUAAAGGCCAAAAUAAAACUUUAUAACUUUUAAAUGGCAACAGACUCUCUCUAUGACUUCAGAGUAAGGACAGAUUUAACAAAGAAAGCACCAACCAUAAAGAAAACGACUAAUAAAUUCAGCUACAUAAAAAUUUAAAACUUCUGCGUAAAGAGGUUGAUAGGUAGGUCACACACUAGAUGCUGUCCACAGUACGUCUAAUCUCUCAGGUGGCUCAGACGGUAAAGAAUCCGCCCAGGAUGCAGAGGCCCUGGGUUCAAUCCCCCCAGGAAGACCCCCUGGAGGAGGGCAAGGCAGCCCAGUCCAGUGUUCUUGCCUGGAAAAUCCUAUGGACAGAGGAGCCUGGCGGGCUACGGUCCAUGGGGUCGCAAAGAGUCANNNNNNNNNNNNNNNNNNNNNNNNNNNNNNNNNNNNNNNNNNNNNNNNNNNNNNNNNNNNNNNNNNNNNNNNNNNNNNNNNNNNNNNNNNNNNNNNNNNGCUACGGUCCAUGGGGUCGCAAAGAGUCAGACACAGCUGAGCGACUAACAGGACAUCUAACUGAUGAAGAAGUCUUAUUCAGAAUGCACAAACAACUCCCAGAAAGCAACGAAAGAACCAGAGAAACGGGAAAUUUAGAAAGUUACACAAAUGGGCAGCGCAGGCGGAAGCACAGACGACCCACCGUGUCAGAGAGGCUCAGGCACACGGGCCACGGGCAGAGCGGUGAGAACCACAGGGAGAUGAUACUUCCCGGGCAUCCCAGGGCAGACGCUAACUCCCCACACCCUGCUGACCGUAAGGAUGGAAACUGGGGCCCGCGUCCAUCGCCAGUGGGGGCGUGGGGAAGGAGGGAAGUUUGGUAAUAUUUAGUAAACUUGGAGAUCUUGUGCUCCCCAGCCCAGCAACCUCACUCCCAAGGAAACGCCCUCCUGCACAUACUCAAACAGCACUGCGCAUGGUAAGGCCGGAAGGAGACCGCGAGCGUCCACCCACGGGACAACUGAUCACGAAUAUUCAGAGGGCAGACGGCGAACACCACACGGACGCAAACACAAGGAAACAAGCCACCGGAUCGACCCGAACGGAUGCCAGCGAUAUCACACUGCACAAGCUGUAUCAGAAUACAUGCCGUGAGUCCGUUUAUAAAGCACGUACACUGCGGGGAACCGUGGCCGUGUUUAUAUUCACCGGGGAAAAGUAAGACGAACAGAGGGAUGGUGAUGUCGAAUCCAGGAACGGUAACUGCUGGAGGAGAAGGACAGGAAUGAGGCCGGGGAGCUGCAAGCAAAAUUCAGCUGUGUUGAAAAUGCUUAUCUCACUAAGCCGAAUUACGGGAUCAGUUCAGUCGCUCAGUGGUGUCCAACUCUUUGUGACCCCAUGAAUCGC